UACGUAGGGGGCAAGCGUUGUCCGGAUUUAUUGGGCGUAAAGAGCGUGUAGGCGGCCAUACUGGUCAGCUGUGAAAACUCGAGGCUCAACCUCGAGACGUCGGUUGAAACCGUAUGGCUAGAGUCCGGAAGAGGAGAGUGGAAUUCCCGGUGUAGCGGUGAAAUGCGCAGAUAUCGGGAAGAACACCAGUGGCGAAGGCGGCUAUCUGGGACGGUACUGACGCUGAGACGCGAAAGCGUGGGGAGCGAACAGG
rnacentral:rRNA from 1 species